GACUUAAUGGCGUAGUGGUAACACGCCUGCUUUGAGUGAGUUGAACCACAACUAUUGUAAGCAGCAGAUCCCCGUUCGAUCCGGGGUUCAGGUA